ACGGGUGAGUAACGCGUGGGAAUCUACCCAUCUCUACGGAAUAACGCAUGGAAACGUGUGCUAAUACCGUAUACGUCCUUCGGGAGAAAGAUUUAUCGGAGAUGGAUGAGCUCGCGUUGGAUUAGCUAGUUGGUGGGGUAAAGGCCUACCAAGGCGACGAUCCAUAGCUGGUCUGAGAGGAUGAUCAGCCACACUGGGACUGAGACACGGCCCAGACUCCUACGGGAGGCAGCAGUGGGGAAUAUUGGACAAUGGGCGCAAGCCUGAUCCAGCCAUGCCGCGUGAGUGAUGAAGGCCCUAGGGUUGUAAAGCUCUUUCACCGGUGAAGAUAAUGACGGUAACCGGAGAAGAAGCCCCGGCUAACUUCGUGCCAGCAGCCGCGGUAAUACGAAGGGGGCUAGCGUUGUUCGGAUUUACUGGGCGUAAAGCGCACGUAGGCGGACUAUUAAGUCAGGGGUGAAAUCCCGGGGCUCAACCCCGGAACUGCCUUUGAUACUGGUAGUCUUGAGUUCGAGAGAGGUGAGUGGAAUUCCGAGUGUAGAGGUGAAAUUCGUAGA
rnacentral:rRNA from 1 species